CGCGUCUUUUGGGGUUAGCGUUGCUCCGCGCUUCUUUUUAAGGUCAAUUCGUCACCACGUGCUUUCACGUCAUCUUGUCAAGUUUUGAAAAUGCGAAUUAGUAAGAUUUUACUUCAGGCUUGAAUUAAUUCUGCCAGCAUCCGUUUGACGUACAGGAGUAGCAACAUGUGAAGUCCAGCACAUAUCUGUGUCUUCAUCCUGCUACUGACUCUCCAGGAUACAGUUUACAAAUUGAGCUGUGAUGGAGGCCAGUCUGUACUCUGUAUACAGGCUCAAAUCACAAAGCUAACCAGUUUUACAGACAGGACCACACAGACUGACACGAGACCUAUCGGAAGCCAAAUGGGCUCUCCUCUUAAAAAAAGAAAAAGAAAAAACGAACAUCAAUCAGUGCUGCUCUUUAAACUUGUCUGAGGAGCAGUCUGGAAUAUGCAGUAUGUAGCUUUCUUUCCGGUCAGCUUCCUCUGUCAGGUUAACACCUGGAUGCUGUCAUCCGACUUGGCCGUCACUAAAUAUGUUGCGCAAUCUCCCACAGGCUCAGAUCCAGUCUUCUCCAGCCGCAAGUGCGUGCGAUACCGUCUGGGAGAAGUUCAUGUCUGUCCCGUCCCAUGUGCUGCAGUCUAACUCCACUGUCACCACGUUUCCUGCUUGCCGACUUCCAGGCUCAGUUGCUCGCAAAGAGGAACAUGUGGUUUUAAAUGUGAUCCAGACCUCAAUAGAGGACAUGCAGUGAAGGGGGAUAAAGGGAGGAGAGAGAGAGUGAGAAGAGAGAUUGAAUCUAGCCUCCAAAAUGCAGCAAAGUGGCAAAAUGAAACUGGAGGGAGCUAAGCCGACAUGCCCUUUCUCUCUUUUUUUUGUGUGUGUAUGUGUGUGCGUCGCACUUAGACAGAUCCAACAAUGAGCUGGUAAUACGAGAUGGGAAUUAGAGGAAGCUUUAAUGCAGUUUAAUGGGUUGUGAGUGCACCCAAGCUCUCUCCAGCUCUGAUCAUUUGAUUGCUCUUACUAUAAAAGCUUCAAAAGAAUCUAUUAUCGGACGAUUCCUUUAAACAAAAACUUCAAAUGAGUAACUUAUGAAAUGGAGAUGAAUCGUGCAGGUGCAAAUGUAACAUAAAUGAAAAUCGGACACAGAUGUAUACUCAAUAAAAGAAAGCAUGUUGUGAUCAGAUAAAAUGUAUGAACAGCCAGAUAUAUAAUCUUGAUUACAUAAGAUUGAAUUUAAAGAAAAAAAAGAAUAUAAAUUAACAAAUAACCAAACCACUUUAAUAAUUAAACGGAUAAUUAGCUAUAAUAACAACAUAAUAAGAAA